GGCUGGUCGGAUGGCAGUGGGUUAUUAGAACUUAUUAACAUUAGUGUCACUAAAGUUGGUAUACCACCCCCCCCACUGCUAAAUUUGACUGGCUUAUA
ensembl:misc_RNA Y_RNA Y RNA